rnacentral:rRNA from 1 species
AGGAUGAACGCUGGCGGCGUGCCUAACACAUGCAAGUCGAACGUCCUGUCUCGCAAGAGGCAGGGAGUGGCGGACGGGUGAGUACCACGUGGGUCAUCUACCGUGAGGUGAGGAAUACCGGCGAGAAAUCGCCGACAAGACCGCAUAGCCUCGGUGCAAGUCGAGGAAAGCUCUCUCGAGAGAGGGAGCGCCACACGAGGAGCCUGCGCCCGAUUAGCUAGCUGGUGGAGUAAUGGUUCACCAGGGCGACGAUCGGUAGCUGGUCUGAGAGGACGAUCAGCCACACUGGGAUUGAGAACGGCCCAGACUCCUACGGGGGGCAGCAGUGAGGAAUUUUCGUCAAUGGGGGCAACCCUGAACGAGCAACGCCGCGUGCAGGAAGAAGGUUUUCGGAUCGUAAACUGCUUUUCUCGGGAAGAGAAUGGACGGUACCCGAGGAUCAGCCCCGGCUAACUACGCGCCAGCAGCCGCGGU